UACGUAGGGAGCAAGCGUUGUCCGGAAUCAUUGGGCGUAAAGCGCGCGUAGGUGGCCCCAUAAGUCCGCUGUGAAAGUCAAAGGCUCAACCUUCGAAAGCCGGUGGAUACUGUGGGACUAGAGUACGGAAGAGGCGAGUGGAAUUCCUGGUGUAGCGGUGGAAUGCGCAGAUAUCAGGAGGAACACCAAUAGCGAAGGCAGCUCGCUGGGACGUUACUGACACUGAGGCGCGAAAGCGUGGGGAGCGAACAGG
rnacentral:rRNA from 1 species